UACGUAGGGGACAAGCGUUAUCCGGAAUUACUGGGCGUAAAGCGCACGCAGGCGGUUGGGUAAGUCUGAUGUGAAAUCUCCUGGCUUAACUGGGAGGGGUCAUUGGAAACUGCCGUACUUGAGGCGAUGAGAGGGGUGUAGAAUUCCCGGUGUAGUGGUGGAAUGCGUAGAUAUCGGGAGGAAUACCAGUGGCGAAAGCGACACCCUGGCAUUAGCCUGACGCUCAUGUGCGAAGGCGUGGGGAGCGAACGGG
rnacentral:rRNA from 1 species